ACGCUAGCAAAUCAUAAACGUAUAAUAGACUUGUACAACCUAAUAAGCAUUAAUUGUAAGAGAUGCGACUAUUAUUUCUAUCAUUGGCUCUUGCCAUAAUCUUUGUCGUGACUAUCAUGCACACAUCCAAAGCGGAAGCAAACGCUGGUGGCUUUGGUCAAUUAGCUUUGCUCAAAAGUACAAAUCUUACUGAACUGAUUAAGUCAAUAUUAAAUCAAACUAGAUCCUCCUAACAAAACAAAUAACUUUCAUGGACUGAAGUGAGGAUUUUACUUCAAGAGAGAAAUGCGGAAAAAGAUUGCGAUAAAAAUGUGACAUUAUACGUAAAUGAUGCACAUAGGUAAUGUUAUUUAUAUUUUGAAAUAAAAAAUAUAAAUUAUUAUA